AGUUGAGGAGGCCAGUGGAGAAAGAGGGCAUCACAUUGACAACUUGGCCAGAAAUCUGGACACUGUAAGGGAGGAUUUAGUGCUGGGUCGUGCCCUGGGCUGAAUUUAUCGCUGCUUGCCUUGUUAACUCGCCUCAUGUUUAAAGUCAAAACUGCCAUAGGCUCUGAGGGAUUUCCAUCUUUGUCAUUUGUAUGAUCUGCCUCAAAAUACAACCUCCCAAGUAAGGAGCAUGAUUCCCCUCCUGCCAGGAAGAAGAAAGCAGAGAAUUGAGGGAUGCCGAAAUCGAUUUUUAAAGGGUUUGGGUUUGGGGCGGUUCCGGAUGAGGCUCUGUGCGCUAAGUGAGCGAGACGGGGAGGUGGGAGAGGACUGAGCGCUAUGGAAAGGUGGUGGGGACGCAGGUGAGGGCGACGCGGGGAAGCGCAUGGUCCUGGGGCCCGCAGACGGGACGGAGCAGCCGCGGCCCGCAGACGGGACGGAGCAGCCAGCGCCGCUUGUCGGGGCUUGUGGUUGCGAACAUAGAGUGGAAAGAGGAUUCUGCGCUCUGCUCCCGCCCCGGGAGAUUAAGAGUCAACCCUACCAUGCAGCCACGUUUUGCCAGUUCCAGGCAGCCGGGAGCCCAGGAAUGCACCCGAAAGGCGGGGAGUCAAGGUCCCCCACCGCUUCUCCAGCGCCAGGAGGCCGCAAUUUGUAAGGCGAAAUUAAAAAUGCACCACGUGUCGGCCCGGAGGCUAACGAUGUUUAUACAGACAUACCACACCGAGGGAACCGGCCCAUCAUUCCGCACUGGGCGCGGAGAAGAGGGGGUGAGGGCGCGGCCGGCCCGCCCCUCCCCCGCCGCCUUCCUGCGCCGCAACCUGGACUUGACCCCCGCGAGCCUGGCUCGGCGCGUCCGGGGCCGCCCAGCCGGAGCCGGGCGCUGAGACCGGCGGCCCGGGCCGGCGUCGCUGCGCGCCUGAAGACCCGGGCGGCCAGACGCGCCCACCACCCCGCCGCGCGCGCAGACCGACCCCGCAGCGCGGCCGGACCCUGGCGCUCCCGGCGGGGAAACGUUUCCAAUGCCUGGAGCUUUUGUUUGAUAGCGAGGGAGGUGGGUACGGCGCUUGGUGGGGGUGAGGGGAGCAGAAAGAGAGAGAGUUUGGUCCCCAAGUAUUGAGCUGUGAGAGAGCAGGGGCAACUCCAGGGCCAGCAUUCAGAGCGGAGAAUUAGAGCUGCGCACGCCCCAGGUCGGAUGCGACAACGAGGUCCCCGGGCCUCAGCAGCUAGGUGACACUGGGCAAGUCUCAGCAGCUCUGGGGGCCUCAACGUCUCAACUGUAAACUCUGGGCACGCGGCUAGCGCCACGUCCUCUCCAGCCCUAACAUUCUGUGAUUCUAAACUUGUCUGAUUUGUCUCAUAUGUUGCAAGGCUCGUAGCAAAAAGAAAAAAAUACUCCAUAACUAUUUAACAGGAAUUAGCUGAAGCACAGCUCUAGAGAGAGAGACACACACACACGUUUCAAAUAACCCGAACACUAGAACCUAGUGAAUUUUAUACCUUUACUAAACUUUAGCGAUUAUUUGUUUCUUUCGUAACAAAGGUUAUUGAUUAGAUUUAGUGCUGAAAAAAACCAACAACGUGCGCUUCGGUCAUUUGUCUUAUGGAGGAAACAUAAAUCUAUAAAUCUUCCUCCUGUCUCUAAGAAAUAAAACUCUCUUCAUUUCCAAAGUAUGCAGAUCUUCCAAAGGCGUAUUCUUUCUUCUUUCUAAAUCUUUGCUCUUAGACUCCUAAAACCAGUGGCUUUCUUUUCUUAAAAUUUAUGUGAUCUUUAAAUAAAGAGAGAUAGAAAAAAGCCCCAUUCUGCAGUUGCAGUCUGAAAAAAGCUAUGUCCAGGAAGAGAUAUUUAGAUUUUAUUUUGAGAGAGUUUUUAAUCUGAAACAAAAUGAUUUCUCAUCUCCUAAAAAUGUACGCAAAAUAAUUUAUAAAAUGUUACACAAAUUUACAGUAUGAUUCUUCAAGUAUCUCUGGAAAGAGGAACAUACAAUCUUCUAAUUACCCCAAGGAAUGUACCACAUGUGGGUGGGUGAUUCAGAGGCUGGCUAAUCUCGCUUCCCCGCAUCCCCCAAAACAGUAAAAACAAGGUUUAGAUUUCUGACAUCUGUCGUUUUAAAAAUAAUGAAUGGAAAGGUGAUUGAUUUGAACUCUUAAUUAUUACCAAAACAAGGUAACAAGGUGUUCUCUGAUUAUGUAAUGUUCCAAGUGCAAAAGCUCAUUUCAGUGAACAGCCUCCUACGUGAUCUUCUGCCUAGCUCAGGGUCACCUCCUCCACCUCACUCCUGCCCUCCAGAAUUGCUCCCUCUCUAAUCAGCGCAGUCCCAUUCUGGCCUCGGACAGGCAGGAGUCAAGGGAGACGCGGAAGCACGCAGGCUCCUCCCCCAGCUUCCCAGGGACAAUCCUUGCAGCAGGAGGGUUUGUUGUGCUGACCUUGUGAGCGAGUGACCCAUAGAGAAGGACACUGUGUGCGGUCACUGAAGUUUUCUGACCUCAUUUGUCCACGUCGGUAUCAAUAAGUCGGCCAGGGGGAGGGGAGAGAGGAAGUGGAAAAGGACGAUUAUCAGGACAUACAGGACAAGGGACUGUGUGCAGCUGCUCUGCUGACAAGGAAUAGUUGGAGCUGUGUUUCCUUGAAGGAAUUGUUUUAAAUUGAAGGUUGGCCUGGUGUUCACAGCACUCCCACCAGCCUUUCUGCUCAUUUCCCCACCAUGAUCUCAGCCUCCUAUCUCCUCGGAAAGUUCCUAUGCCAGGGCAGUGUGUUAUGCCCAGGACACAGACUCCAGGGCCAGAUGACUUGGGUUUGAAUCCAGUUUCAUCACCUGCAAAAUGGAAAUGAUAGUAGUUCCAGCUUGUAAGAGUGUGUGAGGUUGAACUAAGUUAUCACAUCCUUAGAAGUGUGCCUAGCACUGCAUAAAGCCUUCUAGAUACUUCCUUCCAUGGUUUUGUUCAGGUUUCCUCUCUCAGCUGGAGGGGUGCCAGCUUUACUCACUCACUGCUGCUUCAAGCUGCUCUGAGCAAGGAUCAAACCUUGGCUUCUCCAGGAAGAAAAGAUGUGUUAUCAGAUUUGCCUUUGAAAAGAUCUCAUGGGGAAUCUAAGGUGUAGAAGACUCCCAAACGAUCCUUCCUGGGAAGGCUACCACUUAUUGAACCCAACUCAAUAAAUGCCAAUUUGUACACUAUUCCAUUUAAACUUUACAACAGCCCCAAAAGAAGUAUUUUUAUUCCAUUUUAUAAGGGAGAAACAAGGACAAAAAGAGGUUAAUGGCAUUCCCCUGAUUGCACAAGUAGGAUCAGAGCACAACAAUAAUAAAUAACAUUAACUAAAUAGCUGACCCGUGCAAGGUAUUGAACACCUUGCUAUGUCUUCAUUCAUUUAACGCUCACAGCCACCCUGGGAGCCAAAUACUAUUAUUCUCCCUACUUUGCAGCUGAGGAACUGAGGCAGAGAGGCCUUAUCAGCAAACCCCACAAGUAGAAAGUGGUAGAACUGCAUUUGAGUGCAGGCCUGCUGGCUCCCAGCCUAUAGAUCCAACCCCAGUACAUGCUCCCUGUGCUCCUCUGCCCACCAGUGACCGGAAAGCCCCAGCCACGCUGACCUCAUUGCCCCUGGCUGUAGUCACCAUCCAGAAAGUCCUUGAGAACUGCAGAUCUCAGUUCUGUGAGAAACAAAAACUACCAUAUGUCAUUGCCUUGUGCCUAUUUGAAUUUUUGAGACAGAGUGAAUGUUGUUCUGUUUUUUUGUUGUGGUUUCCAGGAAUCAUAAUGUCAUGUUUAAGUAUUGAGAAAGGAUGGCUUUUUCCUGUCAUUUGCAAGGGAUUUUCUUUUCUCCUCCUGAAUAUUUAGGAAUAGGUGGCCCUCAAAACUUUCCAUCCAGCCUGAGCUGGCUCAGAUGUGUAAGUGCUGGGACCACGAUGAAUCUUCUACAAGGCUCCAGAAAAAGAAGUUCCUGUGAGCAGCUGGCCAAGGGAGAAGGGAGAGGCACAGCCCCUCCUAAGCAGGCAGAAAUCUAGCACCCACCCCUUAAGCCACAAGCUCAGCCUCAGCUCCAGUUCCUCACUAGCCCUUCUGCACCUUGACCUUAAACUCUCUGAAGUGCAUGUAAAACCUUGCCAACCAGAGCUUCCUGUUGUUCUUUUGCAAAGUGAGACAUUCACAGGUUUUUUCCCUUUUCACCAAACAGGCUUGUGUUUAGAAGUUAUUUGAAGCAUAAAAAGUAAAAGUUCAACCCUUUCAUCCUCCCAAAGGUAUUUUUCCAGAGUUGAAAUAAGC
rnacentral:lncRNA from 10 species